rnacentral:lncRNA from 1 species
AAGAAAAUAUCUCCUCUUUCUCCAUCCUCCCUGAAAAUAUCUCCUCUUUCUCCAUCCUCCCUCCUCAUCCGGCUCCUCUUCUCCAUGCCGCCGUCGUCGCCUCCUCUUCCCCGUCGCUCACAGCCGCCUCGCCCGCUCCGCCUUCACCACCUCCUCUCGUGGCUCCCGUGUCGGAGUUCAGUGCCAGGGGAAGAGGGAUCGACGAUGGCACAACAGAGGAGAUGGAGUAGCGUGCUCCUGCCGCUGUCCGACCCCAUCCUUCCUCCGCUCCUCCCCGCCCCUGCCUCCGCCUUGCCGCAUCCUCUGCGCCGUCGUGCCAUCACACCAUCUCCACUUCUGCCCAGCGCCCCGCUGCAGCCGCCUGCUAGUCGUCCUAUUCUAUAUGGAGCUGCACAUCGGCUUCGGCAUCGUCGCCGGCAGCGACUUCAUUCACCGCCUCCUCUAUAUUCAGUCCCUCUCAGACAAACCCAUCCAUGAGACAUCCAUAGCAAACUGAAACUCAAUUUCAUCGCAUUAGUCAAAGCAUGCCAUCACGUAUUCUUUGCUGUUGUCACUGGAAUCCUUUACAACCCGACAUUAUCACUGGAAUUGUUUACAACCUGACAUUAUCGGGUUUCUUAAUUUUCUCCAUUGGACACUCUCCUAUCUGAAAUAUUAGUCUUGCCUAUUUAAUGGUGGUUCACAUGCAGGUUCAGAGAGUAGCUCACUUGGAUAUGAGCAUAUGUGCAAUCUUGAGUGGUCUCAAGACGAGAUGAAUUAAACAAUGUUGACAUGCUGGUUGUGCUAGGUGAGUUCCCCUUUGAUCACACGUUGCUGAGUAGUAAAGUUAUGAUUGUUGAAUUGUAUGUCCCUGGUGCCAAGUUCCCCCAAAUCAAUGUUUUGUAGCUAUAUGUGUAUGAGAAAUAGUGGAAAAAGAAGUUUCCCUUAGUAAUCAUCUCUCUAUUGAAAUUCUUGUUGUGAUGAUAGAGCUAUACAAUCUAGAAUUCAGGGAAUUAUGUUUUUCAAUGUUAACUUUCACCAACAAAAAAACUGAAUUUUCUGCAAUAAGCUUCAGUGGAAAUUACGGUAACCAUUUUUUUAUUACUGAAGCUCCUCGUCCAAUUCCGCGUCAAUGUAACAGAAAAGUAAAAAAUUAAAAACAUAUGUGCUGAAUUUUGGUGCCAAGUACAUGCCUUUCAGAUAUAUUAUUGCCUACUUAAGAUGAAGCCAGUCACAUUUCUCAUUACACAGGAUGAUUUUGUCAUGUGUCAUGCUUCAAGAAAAGCAGGCUGGUCUUACAUCUAUUUGGAAUAUUUAGAUGGCCAAGGUCAAAGAGUAUCAAGGUGCUUCUAACUGAUCUCACUCUUAUUAUUUGUGGUUGCCAAUUUCCGUGUUUCGAAGGGAAAAAAUGCACUGCUGCUUCAUGUGUAUGUUGGUUUAAAUAUGAUACAAUAGUUUGCGCAUUGUGUAUCCUAUAUGCCCAAUGGUUUCCUGAUCUAGGGCUUAUAUUGUGUACUAAAAUAAUCCUAUUUUCUUUGAAAAGUGGGUUUUUAUUGGAAAUACGUCAAACCUUUACUUUUUGAUUUUUGUUUCUUUCAGUUUCAUUUUAUGCCACUUUCAGGUUAAAAGUAGAAAAUAUACAUGGUUCUCAAUGUUUUAUGCUUUGGUUAUUUGGAGUUACCCUCAAACUAAUGCCAGCCUCCAUUUGUCCAAUCCAAAGUAAACCUAUGUGCAUGUCUACUAUAUUGUGCGCGAGUAAGCAAAAUUUUAUAUUGGCAUGUGGAACUGUUACUUGGUCCAUGUUUAGCACUUGGCAGAUGAACCUGGAAUGUGAACCAUGCAUAAAUAGCAAGGCAUGAUGAUUAGUAAAUUGUGUUAAUACUCGGUACUUUUCUUCCAACUAAAGUAUAGCUCCAGUUCAGAUGUUAGUUACAUUAUGUCUACUUGAAUUUAGUGCAUUUUUUUGGUGCCCUCUUUCUGUGUUGAAAAUAUGUAAAUUGAUGCAUCCUGUGUAGCUUGUCACUCUGUUUCUACUUGGCAAGGUCUGCAAUAGAUUAUAUAUGCAUUACAUGGUCUGCUUCUUUUGCCUGCGUCAACAUAUGUAUGUUGUUCGUAUUGUCUUUUCAUGCUUAUUUUUUCAGGGAUCCCUCACCCUCUUAAUUCAUUCGUAUUCUUUCCUUCUUAGUUGCAGUGUUGCAAGGUAUACCCUGCCUUGGAGAAGGGCAUUCUGUGGGCUGCUUCUACAGGUUACAUAUAGUUUUCCCACUGCUUCUCCUAAUUAUGCACAAUGCCAAAACCAGACAGAAAAGAGUGGGCACUAUUAGUUUUACUUUCUUAUCUGCUAUCAUAUUUUAUUCUUUACAGAGUAUCAAAUCUGAGAUCAAUCCAGUUUUGAGUUAGGUUACCUAAAGACUCCAUGCACCUCUUCGUCACAUGUCCACUUGCCAACAUGAUAUGGCAACGAAUCGGGUCCUGCCGCAGACCGACGAUAUCACUGAGCUUUGGGAAGCUCCCCUGCCUCAUCACCCCCCCCCCUCCCACACACACACACAAAAAGCAUGGUCCUUGGUCCUCAUGGCACUGCUAUGGAAGAUAUGGGCAGCACACAAUGAUAUGUUGUUUAGGAGUGUUGAUCAAUGUUCUGUAAUAACCCUCCGGGCCCUUAUUUCUUAUUUGGAUCUUUUGUCACACCGUCUCAUGGAGACAAGUGACAAGGAGGACGUCUUCUCGUGGCGUUCCUACCUCUGGGGGAGAUCCCCCCCACCCCCGGGUGAUUCUCAAUAAAAGGUCCAGUUUUGAGUUUUGACACCCAUUAAUGAUGCAUUCAUGUUAUGAGUUACAAAAUACUAAAUCUAAAAUGACAUGGUUUUAGAAAGUUGGGUGGGUUGAAAGAACCAAACUGUUUCAAGUUACACGUCUUCUCUGAAGGAAAUAUGCCCUAGAGUCAAUAAUAAAGUUAUUAUUUAUUUCCUUAUAUCAUGAUAAAUGUUUAUUAUUCAUGCUAGAAUUGUAUUAACCGGAAACAUAAUAUAUGUGUGAAUACAUAGACAAACAGAGUGUCACUAGUAUGCCUCUACUUGACUAGCUCAUUAAUUAAAGAUGGUUAUGUUUCCUAACCAUGAACAAGGAGUUGUUAUUUGAUUAAUGGGAUCACAUCAUUAGGUGAAUGAUCUGAUUGACAUGACCCAUUUCAUUAGCUUAGCACCCGAUCGUUUAGUAUGUUACUAUUGCUUUCUUCAUGAUUUAUACAUGUUCCUAUGACUAUGAGAUUAUGCAACUCCCGUUUGCCGGAGGAACACUUUGUGUGCUACCAAACGUCACAACGUAAAUGGGUGAUUAUAAAGGUGCUUUACAGGUGUUUCCAAAGGUACAUGUUGGGUUGGCGAAUUUGGAGAUUAGAAUUUGUCACUCCGAUUGUCGGAGAGGUAUUUCUGGGCCCUCUCGGUAAUGCACAUCACAUAAGCCUUGCAAGCAUUGCAACUAAUGAGUUAGUUGCGAGAUGAUGUAUUACGGAACGAGUAAAGAGACUUGCCGGUAACGAGAUUGAACUAGGUAUUGAGAUACCGAUGAUCGAAUCUCGGGUAAGUAACAUACCGAUGACAAAGGGAACAACGUAUGUUGUUAUGCGGUCUGACCGAUAAAGAUCUUCGUAGAAUAUGUAGGAGCCAAUAUGAGCAUCCAGGUUCCGCUAUUGGUUAUUGAUCGGAGACGUGUCUCGGUCAUGUCUACAUUGUUCUAGAACCUGUAGGGUCUGCACGCUUAAGGUUUCAAUGACAGUUAUAUUAUGAGUUUAUGAGUUUUGAUGUACUGAAGUUAGUUCGAAGUCCCGGAUGUGAUUACGGACAUGACGAGGAGUCUCGAAAUGGUCGAGACAUAAAGAUUGAUAUAUUGGACGGCUAUAUUCGGACACCGGAAGUGUUCCGGGUGAUUUCGGAGAAAACCGGAGAGCCGGAGGGUUACUGGAACCCCCCGGAAGAAGUAAUGGGCCAUAUGGGCCUUAGUGGAGAGAGAGAGGGGCAGCCAGAGGUGGGCUGCGCGCCUCCUCCCCCUGGUCCGAAUUGGACUAGGAGAGGGGGGUGGCGCCUCCCCUUUCCCUCUCCCUCCCCACUUCUUUCCCCCUCCUAGUAGGAGUCCUACUCCUACUAGGAGGAGCACUCCUCCUUGGCGCGCCGUAGAAGGGCCGGCCGGCCUUCUCCCCUUGAUCCUUUAUAUACGGAGGCAGGGGCACCCCUUGACACACAAGUUGAUCCACGUGAUCAUAUUCUUAACCGUGUGCGGUGCCCCCUUCCACCAUAGUCCUCGAUAAUAUUGUAGCGGUGCUUAGGCGAAGCCCUGCGACAGUAGAACAUCAAGAUCGUCACCACGCCGUCGUGCUGACGGAACUCUUCCCCGACACUUUGCUGGAUCGGAGUCUGGGAUCGCCAUUGAGCUGAACGUGUGCUAAAACUCGGAGGUGUCGUAGUUUCGGUGCUUGAUCGGUCGGGCCGUGAAGACGUACGACUACAUCAACCACGUUGUGCUAACGCUUCCGUUGUCGAUCUACAAGGGUACGUAGAUCACACUCCCCCCUCUCGUUGCUAUGCAUCACCAUGAUCUUGCGUGUGCGUAGGAAAUAUUUUGAAAUUACUACGAAACCCAACAGUGGUAUCAGAGACUAGGUUUUAUAUGUUGAUGUUAUAUGCACGAGUAGAACACAAGUGAGUUGUGGGUGAUAUAAGUCAUACUGCUUACCAGCAUGUCAUACUUUGGUUCGGCGGUAUUGUUGGACGAAGCGGCCCGGACCGACAUUACGCGUACGCUUACACGAGACCGGUUCUCCCGACGUGCUUUGCACAUAGGUGGCUUGCGGGUGACAGUUUCUCCAACUUUAGUUGAACCGAGUGUGGCUACGCCCGGUCCUUGCGAAGGUUAAAACAGCAUCAACUUGACAAACUUUCGUUAUGGUUUUGAUGCGUAGGUAAGAUUGGUUCUUGCUUAAGCCCGUAGCAGCCACGUAAAACUUGCAAUAACAAAGUAGAGGACGUCUAACUUGUUUUUGUAGGGCAUGUUGUGAUGUGAUAUGGUUAAGACAUGAUGCUAAAUUUUAUUGUAUGAGAUGAUCAUGUUUUGUAACCGAGUUAUCGGCAACUGGCAGGAGCCAUAUGGUUGUCGCUUUAUUGAAUGCAAUGCAAUCGCGCUGUAAUGCUUUAAUUUAUCACUAAGCGGUAGCGAUAGUCGUGGAAGCAUAAGAUUGGCGAGACGACAACGAUGCUACGAUGGAGAUCAAGGUGUCGCGCCGGUGACGAUAGUGAUCACGACGGUGUUUCGAAGAUGGAGAUCACAAGCACAAGAUGAUGAUGGCCAUAUCAUAUCACUUAUAUUGAUUGCAUGUGAUGUUUAUCUUUUAUGCAUUUUAUCUUGCUUUGAUUGAUGGUAGCAUUAUAAGAUGAUCUCUCACUAAUUAUCAAGAAGUGUUUUCCCUGAGUAUGCACCGUUGCGAAAGUUCUUCGUGCUGAGACACCACGUGAUGAUCGGGUGUGAUAGGCUCUACGUUCAAAUGCAAUAGGUGCAAAACAGUUGCACACGCGGAAUACUCAGGUUAUACUUGACGAGCCAAGCAUAUACAGAUAUGGCUUCGGAACACGGAGACCGAAAGGUCGAGCGUGAAUCAUAUAGUAGAUAUGAUCAAUAUAGUGAUGUUCAUCAAUGAAACUACUCCAUCUCACGUGAUGAUCGGACAUGGUUUAGUUGAUUUGGAUCACGUAAUCACUUAGAGGAUUAGAGGGAUGUCUAUCUAAGUGGGAGUUCUUUAAGUAAAUUAAUUGAACCUAAAUUUAUCAUGAAACUUAGUACCUGAUAGUAUCUUGCUUGUUUAUGCUUGAUUGUAGAUAGAUGGCUCGUGCUGUUGUUUCGUUGAAUUUUAAUGCGUUCCUUGAGAAAGCAAAGUUGAAAGAUGAUGGUAGCAAUUACACGGACUGGGUCCGUAACUUGAGGAUUAUCCUCAUUGCUGCACAGAAGAAUUAUGUCCUGAAAGCACCGCUGGGUGCCAGGCCUGCUGCUGGAGCAACACCAGAUGUUAUGAACAUCUGGCAGAGCAAAGCUGAUGACUACUCAGUAGUUCAGUGUGCCGUGCUUUCCGGCUUAGAAUCGGGACUUCAACGACGUUUUGAACGUCAUGGAGCAUAUGAGAUGUUUCAAGAGUUGAAGUUAAUAUUUUAAGCAAAUGCCCGGAUUGAGAGAUAUGAAGUCUCCAAUAAGUUCUAUAGCUGCAAAAUGGAGGAGAACAGUUCUGUCAGUGAGCAUAUACUCAAAAUGUCUGGGUAUAAUAAUCACUUGAUUCAAUUGGGAGUUAAUCUUCCAGAUGAUUGCGUCAUUGAUAGAAUUCUCCAAUCACUGCCACCAAGCUACAAGAGCUUCAUGAUGAACUAUAAUAUGCAAGGGAUGAAUAAGACUAUUCCCGAGCUCUUCGCAAUGAUGAAAGCUGCGGAGGUAGAAAUCAAAAAGGAGCAUCAAGUGUUGAUGGUCAACAAGACCACUAGUUUCAAGAAAAGGGGCAAAGGGAAGAAGAAGGGGAACUUCAAAAAGAACGGCAAGCAAGUUGCUGCUCAAGAGAAGAAACCCAAACCUGGACCUAAGCCUGAAACUGAGUGCUUCUACUGCAAGCAGACUGGUCACUGGAAGCGGAACUGCCCCAAGUAUUUGGCGGAUAAGAAGGAUGGCAAGGUGAACAAAGGUAUAUGUGAUAUACAUGUUAUUGAUGUGUACCUUACUAAUGCUCGCGGUAGCACCUGGGUAUUUGAUACUGCUUCUGUUGCUAAUAUUUGCAACUCGAAACAGGGACUACGGAUUAAGCGAAGAUUGGCUAAGGACGAGGUGACGAUGCGCGUGGGAAACGUUUCCAAAGUCGAUGUGAUCGCAGUCGGCACGCUACCUCUACAUCUACCUUCGGGAUUAAUAUUAGACCUAAAUAAUUGUUAUUUGGUGCCAGCGUUAAGCAUGAACAUUAUAUCUGGAUCUUGUUUGAUGCAAGACGGUUAUUCAUUUAAAUCUGAGAAUAAUGGUUGUUCUAUUUAUAUGAGUAAUAUCUUUUAUGGUCAUGCACCCUUAAAGAGUGGUCUAUUUUUGUUGAAUCUCAAUAGUAGUGACACACAUAUUGAUACUGUUGAAGCCAAAAGAUGCAGAGUUGAUAAUGAUAGUGCAACUUAUUUGUGGCACUGUCGUUUAGGUCAUAUCGGUGUAAAGCGCAUGAAGAAACUCCAUACUGAUGGACUUUUGGAACCACUUGAUUAUGAAUCACUUGGUACUUGCGAACCGUGCCUCAUGGGCAAGAUGACUAAAACACCGUUCUUCGGUACUAUGAAGAGAGCAACAGAUUUGUUGGAAAUCAUACAUACAGAUGUAUGUGGUCCGAUGAAUAUUGAAGCUCGUGGCGGAUAUCGUUAUUUUCUCACCUUCACAGAUGACUUAAGCAGAUAUGGGUAUAUCUACUUAAUGCAACAUAAGUCUGAAACGUUUGAAAAGUUCAAAGAAUUUCAGAGUGAAGUUGAAAAUCAUCGUAACAAGAAAAUAAAGUUUCUAUGAUCUGAUCGUGGAGGAGAAUAUUUGAGUUACGAGUUUGGUGUACAUUUGAAAAAUUGUGGAAUAGUUUCGCAACUCACGCCACCCGGAACACCACAGCGUAAUGGUGUGUCCGAGCAUCGUAAUCGUACUUUACUAGAUAUGGUGCGAUCUAUGAUGUCUCUUAUUGAUUUACCGCUAUCGUUUUGGGGAUACGCUCUAGAGACGGCUGCAUUCACGUUAAAUAGGGCACCAUCAAAAUCCGUUGAGACGACACCUUAUGAACUGUGGUUUGGCAAGAAACCAAAGUUGUCGUUUCUGAAAGUUUGGGGCUAUGAUGCUUAUGUGAAAAAGCUUCAACCUGAUAAGCUCGAACCCAAAUUGGAGAAAUGUGUCUUCAUAGGAUAUCUAAAGGAGACUAUUGGAUACACCUUCUAUCACAAAUCCGAAGGCAAGACUUUUGUUGCUAAGUUCGGAAACUUUUUGGAGAAGGAGUUUCUCUCGAAAGAAGUGAGAGGGAGGAAAGUAGAACUUGACGAGGUAACUGUACCUGCUCCCUUAUUGGAAAGUAGUGCAUCACAGAAAACUGUUUCUGUGACACCUACACCAGUUAGUGAGGAAGCUAAUGAUGAUGAUCAUGAAACUUCAGAACAAGAUACUACUGAACCUCGUAGAUCAACCAGAGUAAGAUCCGCACCAGAGUGGUACGGUAAUCCUGUUCUGGAAGUCAUGCUACUAGAUCAUGAUGAACCUACGAACUAUGAAGAAGCGAUGGUGAGCCCAGAUUCCGCAAAAUGGUUUGAAGCCAUGAAAUCUAAGAUGGGAUCCAUGUAUGAGAACAAAGUAUGGACUUUGGUUGACUUGCCCGAUGAUCGGCAAGCAAUUGAGAAUAAAUGGAUCUUCAAGAAGAAGACUGACGCUGACGGUAAUAUUACUGUCUACAAAGCUCGACUUGUCGCGAAAGGUUUUCGGCAAGUUCAAGGGAUUGACUACGAUGAGACCUUCUCACCCAUAGCGAUGCUUAAGUCUGUUCGAAUCAUGUUAGCAAUUGCCGCAUUUUAUGAUUAUGAAAUUUGGCAGAUGGAUGUCAAAACUGCAUUCCUGAAUGGAUUUCUGGAAGAAGAGUUGUAUAUGAUGCAACCAGAAGGUUUUGUCGAUCCAAAGGGAGCUAACAAAGUGUGCAAGCUCCAGCGAUCCAUUUAUGGACUGGUGCAAGCCUCUCGGAGUUGGAAUAAACGCUUUAAUAGUGUGAUCAAAGCAUUUGGUUUUAUACAGACUUUUGGAGAAGCUUGUAUUUACAAGAAAGUGAGUGGGAGCUCUGUAGCAUUUCUGAUAUUAUAUGUGGAUGACAUAUUACUAAUUGGAAAUGAUAUAGAAUUUUUGGAUAGCAUAAAGGGAUACUUGAAUAAGAGUUUUUCGAUGAAAGACCUCGGUGAAGCUGCUUACAUAUUAGGCAUUAAGAUCUAUAGAGAUAGAUCAAGACGCUUAAUUGGACUUUCACAAAGCACAUACCUUGACAAAGUUUUGAAGAAGUUCAAAAUGGAUCAAGCAAAGAAAGGGUUCUUGCUUGUGUUACAAGGUGUGAAGUUGAGUAAGACUCAAUGCUCGACCACUGCAGAAGAUAGAGAGAAAAUGAAAGAUGUUCCCUAUGCUUCAGCCAUAGGCUCUAUCAUGUAUGCAAUGUUGUGUACCAGACCUGACGUGUGCCUUGCUAUAAGUCUAGCAGGGAGGUACCAAAGUGAUCCAGGAGUGGAUCACUGGACAGCGGUCAAGAACAUCCUGAAAUACCUGAAAAGGACUAAGGAUAUGUUUCUCAUAUAUGGAGGUGACAAAGAGCUCAUCGUAAAAGGUUACGUUGAUGCAAGCUUUGACACUGAUCCGGACGAUUCUAAAUCGCAAACCGGACACGUGUUUACAUUAAACGGUGGAGCUGUCAGUUGGCGCAGUUCUAAACAAAGCGUUGUAGCGGGAUCUACAUGUGAAGCGGAGUACAUAGCUGCUUCGGAAGCAGCGAAUGAAGGAGUCUGGAUGAAGGAGUUCAUAUCCGAUCUAGGUGUCAUACCUAGUGCAUCGGGUCCAAUGAAAAUCUUUUGUGACAAUACUGGUGCAAUUGCCUUGGCAAAGGAAUCCAGAUUUCACAAGAGAACCAAGCACAUCAAGAGACGCUUCAAUUCCAUCCGGGAUCUAGUCCAGGUGGGAGACAUAGAGAUUUGCAAGAUACAUACGGAUCUGAAUGUUGCAGACCCGUUGACUAAGCCUCUUCCACGAGCAAAACAUGAUCAGCACCAAGGCUCCAUGGGUGUUAGAAUCAUUACUGUGUAAUCUAGAUUAUUGACUCUAGUGCAAGUGAGAGACUGAAAGAAAUAUGCCCUAGAGGCAAUAAUAAAGUUAUUAUUUAUUUCCUUAUAUCAUGAUAAAUGUUUAUUAUUCAUGCUAGAAUUGUAUUAACCGGAAACAUAAUACAUGUGUGAAUACAUAGACAAACAGAGUGUCACUAGUAUGCCUCUACUUGACUAGCUCGUUAAUCAAAGAUGGUUAUGUUUCCUAACCAUGAACAAGGAGUUGUUAUUUGAUUAACGGGAUCACAUCAUUAGGUGAAUGAUCUGAUUGACAUGACCCAUUCCAUUAGCUUAGCACCCGAUCGUUUAGUAUGUUGCUAUUGCUUUCUUCAUGACUUAUACAUGUUCCUAUGACUAUGAGAUUAUGCAUCUCCCGUUUGCCGGAGGAACACUUUGUGUGCUACCAAACGUCACAACGUAAAUGGGUGAUUAUAAAGGUGCUCUACAGGUGUCUCCAAAGGUACAUGUUGGGUUGGCGUCCCGGAUGUACCGAAAUUAGUUCGAAGUCCCGGAUGUGAUCACGGACAUGACGAGGAGUCUCUAAAUGGUCGAGACAUAAAGAUUGAUAUAUUAGACGGCUAUAUUCGGACACCGGAAGUGUUCCAGAUGAUUUCGGAGAAAACCGGAGAGCCGGAGGGUUACCGGAACCCCCCGGGAGAAGUAAUGGGCCAUAUGGGCCUUAGUGGAGAGAGAGAGGGGCAGCCAGAGAUGGGCUGCGCGCCUCCUCCCCCCUGGUCCGAAUUGGAAUAGGAGAGGGGGGCGGCGCCCCCCCCCCCCUUCCCUCUCCCUCCCCACUUCUUUCCCCCUCCUAGUAGGAGUCCUACUCCUACUAGGAGGAGGACUCCUUGGCGCGCCAUAGAAGGGCCGGCCGGCCUCCUCCCCUUGAUCCUUUAUAUAAGGGGGCAGGGGGCACCCCUUGACACACAAGUUGAUCCACGUGAUCAUAUUCUUAGCCGUGUGCGGUGCCCCCUUCCACCAUAAUCCUCGAUAAUAUUGUAGCGGUGCUUAGGCGAAGCCCUGCGACAGUAGAACAUCAAGAUUGUCACCACGCCGUCGUGCUGAUGGAACUCUUCCCCGACACUUUGCUGGAUCGGAGUCCGGGGAUCGUCAUCGAGCUGAACGUGUGCUAAAACUCGGAGGUGCUGUAGUUUCGGUGCUUGAUCGGUCGGGCCAUGAAGAUGUACAACUACAUCAACCACGUUGUGCUAACGCUUCCGUUGUCGAUCUACAAGGGUACGUAGAUCACACUCCCCCCUCUCGUUGCUAUGCAUCACCAUGAUCUUGCGUGUGCGUAGGAAUUUUUUUGAAAUUACUACGAAACCCAACAUUCUCUGUCGUGGGCUAAAAGCUAUAUAUGUUUGCCUCGAUGAAUUUUCGAAAUAAAAUACAGUAUGCCUUUAUUUACCAUGGAUUGACGGAGUUCACGUGUGUUUUCAUUGGUUUUUUAAAUGAUUUCUUAAGGGGCCUUCUAUGAUUUCCCACUAUAUGAUUUAUUUGGGCAUGAGGGUGGCUCUUUUGAGUGAAUGUUUGGAAUAAGCAGUAAGUUGAAAGGUGCCGGAAAUAACUCUAUCCUGGCAAGAUGUGAGUCUCCGUUGUCCAGUCACUAUACACCAAUGAGGUGGUGUUGGAAACUAUGAAAUUGGCUUUCUCUUAAUUUUCUUAUUAUAGAUGUGUAUUUAAUUUGGAUCCUCGAUGAUGUCUAUAUGUAAUAUGUAUAUCUAGAAGUAGUGUUUUUUUGUGUGUAUUAUGAUCCCUCGUUAGAACAAAAAUAGUAUACAUUUACUAUUUUGGACCAUAAUUCAUUGAGUGAAAUUGCAAGCAUUUGCAACUUUUCACCAGUUAUAAUUUCAAAGAGGGUUUUAUACAGGCUCUAUUUUCAUUUGAUCUGUCCAUGGCAUCCUUGCAUUAAUAUUAUGACAUUGUUUAUUCAUGUUCAGAUAUUCUAUUCAGUGUAAUGCUACAUGUAUGUGCUUAUUAGGUCAUCCUACUAUUUGUAAUAAAAUCCGCGUUGCAUUAUCUUUCCAUCUAAUCUCUCUACUUACUCACUACUAACAUCGCUUCUAACUGGCUUCUUGCGCCAUUGGCGCAACCGGGUCAUCUAGUAUAAAUAACAGAGGGUAAAAGU